GAAGUUGUCAUCAAUAUGAUUACUGUGCAGAGGUCAGGGAUAGUGUAAUGCUGUGUCAUAUCAUUGCUAGUAUUGCACUCCCCCCGGCCUUUGCAAAGUGGUCCGUCCUUCGUGUGGAUGCC
rnacentral:pre_miRNA from 8 species